rnacentral:rRNA from 1 species
UACAGAGGUGGCAAGCGUUGUUCGGAAUUACUGGGCGUAAAGGGCGCGUAGGCGGUCCUGUAAGUCCCGCGUGAAAUCCCCCGGCUCAACUGGGGAACUGCGCGGGAAACUGUGGGGCUUGAGUUCGGGAGAGGGAAGCGGAAUUCCGGGUGUAGCGGUGAAAUGCGUAGAUAUCCGGAGGAACACCGGUGGCGAAGGCGGCUUCCUGGACCGACACUGACGCUGAGGCGCGAAAGCUAGGGGAGCAAACGGG